rnacentral:rRNA from 1 species
CCUACGGGAGGCAGCAGUGGUGGAUAUUGCACAAUGGGGGAAACCCUGAUGCAGCGACGCCGCGUGUGGGAAGACGGUCCUCUGGAUUGUAAACCACUGUCCCCAGGGACGAAGAUGACGGUACUUGGGGAGGAAGCUCCGGCUAACUCCGGGCCAGCAGCCGCGGUAAUACGCAGGGAGCGAGCGUUGUUCGGAAUUACUGGGUGGAAAGGGAGCGUAGGCGGGACUGCAAGUAGGGUGUCAAAUCUACCGGCUCAACCGGUAGCCGCACUCAAAACUGCAGUUCUUGAGUGAAGUAGAGGCAGGCGGAAUUCCUGGUGUAGCGGUGAAAUGCGUAGAUAGUAGGAGGAACACCAGUGGCGAAGGCGGCCUGCUGGGCUUUUACUGACGCUGAGGCUCGAAAGUGUGGGGAGCAAACAGGAUUAGAUACCCCUGUAGUC